rnacentral:rRNA from 1 species
GAUGAACGCUGGCGGUGUGCCUAACACAUGCAAGUCGAGCGAAAAGACGAGGAGCUCGUUCUCUUGACGUUAGCGGCGGACGGACGAGUAAGACGUGGAUAACAUUCUACUUAUUCUGGGAUAAUAACGGGAAACAGCUGCCACUACUGGAUCAUACAUCGUACGGCUUGGUUCAAUAGAUCUUGAGGGCUUUGCCGACUCAUUUAGCCGGUUCCGCGUCGCAUUAGCUAGUUGGUAAGGUAACGGCAUACCAAGGCAACGAUGCGUAGCCGAGCUGAGAGGAUGAUCAGCCACACUGGAACUGAGACACGGUCCAGACUCCUACGGGAGGCAGCAGUGGGGAAUCUUCCACAAUGGGCGAAAGCCUGACGGAGCAACACCGCGUGGGUGAUGAAGGUCUUCGGGUCGUAAAGCUCUGUUAUUGGGAAAGAACAGAAGUAUAAGAAACUAUGCACGUCUUGACGGUACCUAAACAGAAAGCCACGGCUAACUUCGUG